UAAAUAAAAUCUUAAAAAAAAAAAAAAAAAAAGAAUUUCAGCCUGAAGAGUCCAGAGUUUAGAAACCUGGACCACUAUAAACAGGAAAACACUGACUGCUAUUACAUGACAUAUUGACUGUGUCACCCCUUCAUUAGACUUGCAGAGUGGAAUGCACCCCAAGGCGGCAAUGAGCCGCACGUCGGUGGGUCCACACAGCACUCCCAUUGACCCUGCACACACGUCUGCGGCCUGCUGCCUCACACCAUGGCCGGCUCUUAUUUCCAGUGAGGGAGCCUGCACCUUUAGCAUACCCCAAAGGAAGUAAUUCACGGGCCCCGAUCUGGGAGGGGUGCAGCUCUCUCCACACAGCCAGACCAUCCGGGUUUGGAAGUAAUCAUACCAGCAAUCAGUCCCUCACUGCUCCAGGGCAGCGGGGCGGUGUGCCAUCCCGUGAGAGUUAUUACAAUGGCCUUUCCCUUGCCCACCAGACAGAGGCACUAAUGGGUCACUUGAGAUGACUAAGUAUGGCAGAUGUUCAUCUUUGUUUCCAGGCUUGGUGGCCACUGUGACGGGUUGCAUCGUGUCCCCCUGAAAAGAUAUUUUGAAGUCCUAACCUCUGGUACCUGUGAAUGGGGCUUUGUUUAGCUAUGGGUCUUUGCAGAUGGAACCAAGUGCAGAUAAGAGAUCAUUAGGUCAUAAUCCAAGAAGACUGGUAUCCUUGGAGAAGAGGGACAUUGGGACACAGGCUCGCAGAGAACGCUGGGACAGCCAACACGGGGCUGAAGGAAGGCCAAGGUUGGAUGGCCACACUGGGGCCGGGGAGGAGGCAAGGAAGGAUGCUCCCCUAGAGGCCGGGCUGGCUGAUACCUGGGUUUUGAACUCUUAGCCUUCGGAACCGUGAGACAGUAAGUUGCUGUGGUUUUAACCAUCUCAUUGGCGGUAGAUGGUUCCAGCAAUCCUAGCAAAGGAACAGAGCUGCCCUAAGUGCUAUUCCAGAACGGACGGUGGCCCGAUGCUCGGCAAGGUCCUCAGGGAAGGCUCGAACAGGGUUAUGAAGUCUUCUUUAAACUAAGUUUUUAAAAAGAGAGAACUGAUGUCUGACAAGGAAACUGAGGCUCUAGGGAACUUCUGAAAAAUUGCAUGUGGCAGAUACAGAUGAGGCCUGGACCUAUUCGGCUUCAAAACCUGUGUUUCUCCACAUUCAUCUCACCACCUACAGUUGAUCCCAUUUUCAACCAGAAAGGAAAAAAACUAGGCGAGCCAGUAUCGAUUGCAUUUUUACGGCUUCUUAAGGGCAGAUUUCCUUAAAAACACCAUCUUACCAAAUUCACCAGAGAAUGCUUUGAAAUAUAAAAGAAGCAUCUUCUUAACAAGAUUUAUGAGGAGGAAUUAAAAAUUUGAUCAUGUAAAGAGAUGUUCCCCUACAAUAGGAAGUUCGGGUCAAGAUGUCAGUGGAGUACCCAACUCUCCUCCCCUUCCUUUCCAAGGUCUUCCUGAAAUAACACAGACAAACAAAACAAAUGAAAAAGAUAACCCUGGAAAAUAAGAAAGGUGUCAUCCGUAGACAAAUAAUACCGAAGUCCUUAAGGAACAAAAAGAAAUGGCUUUAGUUUGAUGGAAAACCAGAGUGCAGACCACUACAGCUCAAGACAAGAGAGGUAAGCAAAGUUCUUCUGGGAAGUUCCUGGCUCAGGCUCAACCAAAUGCAGAGAGGAGGGACCUGGGACUGCCAUCGGAGGAGUUCGAGAAGUUAAUUCAAAGCAGUGGGCCAGGCAGGCAAACCCCUUCUUCUCCCCUCAUACAGGGGCAGUUGUUUUUAUUUACAGAUGAAGCCCAAAGAACUGCUUUCUACAGAGUGGGCAGCGUCUCUAAGGAGUUUUUAGGUCAGAAAGAGAAGCAGAGCACAGCAUGAGGUUACGCAGGACCUGCCUAAUAGGCUCGGAUGAGAAAGGAGGAAGGCACAUGCCACCUAGAAAUAAACUUCACAGAGAACUCCAACCACACAGCGACAUUCCUCAUCCCAACCCCAGUUAUAGUCGGUAUCUACCUGCCUGCUUCCUGCCGACACUCCACCAGAGGCUGGCUCUGACGUCCCCCAUCCACUGGCUCUGACGUCCCCCAUCCACUGGCUCUGACGUCCCCCAUCCACUCACUAGGGCUCACAACCUGCCAGGCCAGCCCUGGGAGGAGCUACUCAGCUGCAGAAAUGACUCCAUCCCGGCUACCUACUGGAUAAACAGGACUAAUCCUGGAAAAAAAAAAAAACAACUUAGAAGAACAAAAAAGAACUUGAUUUUUAUUUGAGCACUCUGAAAAGAGAUUUAAGAGCAACAGUGAUUUGAACAGAAACAGAGAACAAGACCUGGCUUCUGGGAAAUGACAAAUAGGAAUACCAAGGUAAGAUUUCUUGUUCAAGGGCUGUAUAUUAUCAUAUAAACACCCAACAGCUUGAAGCCGUCCAAGAGGGGCCACGGCUAUCCAGGAGGGGUUCUGAAGGAAAGAACAGAGACAAAUGAAGGGAAGGAAGUAAUCCCAUAUCGCUGGUGUCUGGGACUCAGAAUGAUCAGCAGUACGGAGUACUAGAAGUCAAAGAACCAAUGCCCUCUGAGCUCUGAGGAAAGGGGCUUUAAAUGUAUUCUUUUAUGCCAGGUUGUGAUUAAUUAAGGAUGAGGGUAAAGUGAAGAAACCUCCAGACAGGACUACCCACAAGAUCUGCAUGAGAUAAUUACCUGAGGAGUUUGUCCAGCAAACAGAGAAGGAAUCGAAGCAAGCAAGCACUAUGGGAAUCAAGGAACGGUGGCCACUGAACCCAGCUCAGGAAAGCUGAAGACACUUAACAACUGAGAGUUGACAAGUUCCCUUUUAGGAGCAAGUUUUACUGACAUAGGAUUUUGGGUGUUUUUUGUUUUAUUAUUAUUAUUUUUUUAUAUUUUGAGUGUGCACGAAUACAAUCACAUUGUUGGGUUCUCAGCAUCAAAUUAUAUUGUUGAUAGAUUUUCAGUUUUUAGAAUCAACCUGUACUGAGUUAACUAUGUAAAAACAUAAUAUGAACAUAAUAAAACUUGGCAAAAUAA